rnacentral:rRNA from 1 species
UGAAGAGUUUGAUCAUGGCUCAGAUUGAACGCUGGCGGCAGGCCUAACACAUGCAAGUCGAACGGUAACAGGAAGCAGCUUGCUGCUUUGCUGACGAGUGGCGGACGGGUGAGUAAUGUCUGGGAAACUGCCUGAUGGAGGGGGAUAACUACUGGAAACGGUGGCUAAUACCGCAUAACGUCGCAAGACCAAAGAGGGGGACCUUCGGGCCUCUUGCCAUCAGAUGUGCCCAGAUGGGAUUAGCUUGUUGGUGAGGUAACGGCUCACCAAGGCGACGAUCCCUAGCUGGUCUGAGAGGAUGACCAGCCACACUGGAACUGAGACACGGUCCAGACUCCUACGGGAGGCAGCAGUGGGGAAUAUUGCACAAUGGGCGCAAGCCUGAUGCAGCCAUGCCGCGUGUAUGAAGAAGGCCUUCGGGUUGUAAAGUACUUUCAGCGGGGA